rnacentral:rRNA from 1 species
AUUGAACGCUGGCGGCAGGCUUAACACAUGCAAGUCGAGCGAGCGGCGGACGGGUGAGUAAUGUCUGGGAAACUGCCUGAUGGAGGGGGAUAACUACUGGAAACGGUAGCUAAUACCGCAUACCAUCAGAUGUGCCCAGAUGGGAUUAGCUAGUAGGUGGGGUAAUGGCUCACCUAGGCGACGAUCCCUAGCUGGUCUGAGAGGAGGACAACCAAACUGGGACCUGAGACAGGGUCCGACUCCCUAGGGGGGGCAGCAUGGGGGAAUAUUGCACAAGGGGCGCAAGCCUGAUGCGGCCAGGCCGGGUGUGUGAAGAAGGCCUUGGGGUUGUAAAGCACUUUCAGCGAGGAGGGGUUACUCGCAGAAGAAGCACCGGCUACCUCCGUGCCAGCAGCCGCGGUAAUU